rnacentral:rRNA from 1 species
UACGUAGGUGGCAAGCGUUGUCCGGAAUUAUUGGGCGUAAAGAGCUCGUAGGCGGUUUGUCGCGUCUGCUGUGAAAAUCCAGGGCUUAACCCUGGACCUGCAGUGGGUACGGGCAGACUAGAGUGCGGUAGGGGAGACUGGAAUUCCUGGUGUAGCGGUGGAAUGCGCAGAUAUCAGGAGGAACACCGGUGGCGAAGGCGGGUCUCUGGGCAGUAACUGACGCUGAGGAGCGAAAGCGUGGGGAGCGAACAGG